GUGUUCACUUCAGCAGCACAUAUGUGAAAACUGGAGCAAUGCAGAGAAGAUCAGGACGGCCCCUGUGCAAGGAUGACAUGCAAAUCCGUGAAGCAUUGCAUAUGAAA
ensembl:snRNA U6 U6 spliceosomal RNA